rnacentral:rRNA from 1 species
UACGGAGGAUGCGAGCGUUAUCCGGAUUUAUUGGGUUUAAAGGGUGCGCAGGCGGCACGGCAAGCCGGCGGUCAAAUCGCGGGGCUCAACCCCGCCCAGCCGUCGGAACUGCCGGGCUAGAGUGGGCGAGAAGUGCGCGGAAUGCGUGGUGUAGCGGUGAAAUGCAUAGAUAUCACGCAGAACUCCGAUUGCGAAGGCAGCGUACCGGCGCCCAACUGACGCUGAAGCACGAAGGCGUGGGUAUCGAACAGG